UACGGAGGGUGCGAGCGUUGUCCGGAUUUAUUGGGUUUAAAGGGUGCGUAGGCGGUUUGAUAAGUCUGGGGUGAAAGCCCGCUGCUCAACUAUGGAACUGCCCUGGAUACUGCCGGGCUUGAGCACAGGUGAGGUUGGCGGAAUGGACGGUGUAGCGGUGAAAUGCAUAGAUACCGUCCAGAACACCGAUUGCGAAGGCAGCUGACUAGACUGUAGCUGACGCUGAGGCACGAAAGCGUGGGGAGCGAACAGG
rnacentral:rRNA from 1 species